rnacentral:lncRNA from 1 species
GAGGGAGGGGGUAGGAGGAGGAAGGAAGGAAGGGAGGGAGGGAAGGAAGGAAGGAAUCUUAUAAACCUGCCUGAGGCAGUGCUAGCUCUACACUUUACCCAGGAAAUCCUGUCAGUGGGAAGUGGGCUUCAACAGCACACUGUACAGAGGGGAAACUGAGGCUUGGCCUGUGAAGGCAAAGUAAGCAGGUGGCUCUGAGGGUAAAGGGCCGGAUGCACAGUCACACGUACCUGAGCCUAAGAACCCUGGUGGCAGCAGGUGCCUUCCACCCCAGCACUGGGAACAGACAGAUUUGAAGCAAGAUGGCCAAGUGUCCCAGGAAGAAUGAACAACUUCCACAUUGGAACAUGGAAUUUGGAGUGUUCCCUGGCUAUGGUCACUCAUAUUCAGCUCCAAAAUAAGCCAUCUCUCAACCUGUUCCACGUAAGAGCUGUGUCUUCAUUGACUGCCAUCGCUUUGAAAAUAAUAUACUUUUUAUCAGAGGAGUUACCUGGGUGGAUGCAUUCAUACCCCAGAUCAGUGGAAAGCCAGCCCCAUGUGGUCUGAUCCAGCCGCCCCACUCGGACUGAAGCCUGGGAGUGGGGGACCACAACCUGACUAUCCCUGCAGUCCAGCCGUGGUGGGAGGAGCCCCCCAACACCACGCCUUAAAGUGCUGUUCUGCACAGCUCUGGACGCAGGAGCAGCUCUGAAAGCCUCUGAGAGGCGACAUUCCACAUCCACAGACUGCAAAGGCUCUUACCCAGGUUCUCUCAGACCUCCCUUGGUUUGGUGAAUGUCCAUUUGUUUAUUCUGAGAUGGUUAUUUAGGUACCCUGUUUGGUAGACUCCUUUCUGUUUUCAAGGUAUCUAGUUUAAGCAUCUAUUUUUUGUUUUUUUUUGUUUUUUUUUUUUUUUUUUGAGACAGGGUUUCUCAGGGUUUCUCUGUGUAGCCCUGGCUAUCCUGUAGACCAGACUGGCCUUGAACUCAGAGAUCCACCUGCCUCUGCCUCCCUAGUGCUGGGAUUAAAGGCGUGCGCCACCCUCUGCUUUCUUACCUGUUUCUGUUGUUUAGAAAGCCAGCAGCGUGGGCAGGUCUUUUUUUAAUAUUUUAUUUAUUUAUUAUGUAUACAACAUUCUGCUUCCACGUUUAUCUGCACACCAGAAGAGGGCACCAGAUCUCAUCAAGGAUGGUUGUGAGCCACCAUGUGGUUGCUGGGAAUUGAACUCAGGACCUCUGGAAGAGCAGUCAGUGCUCUUAACCUCUGAGCCAUCUCUCCAGCCC